AGAGUUUGAUCCUGGCUCAGAUUGAACGCUGGCGGCAUGCCUUACACAUGCAAGUCGAACGGCAGCACGGGAGCAAUCCUGGUGGCGAGUGGCGAACGGGCGAGUAAUAUAUCGGAACGUGCCCAGUCGUGGGGGAUAACGCAGCGAAAGCUGUGCUAAUACCGCAUACGAUCUCUGGAUGAAAGCGGGGGACUCAGCAAUGGGCCUCGCGCGAUUGGAGCGGCCGAUAUCAGAUUAGCUAGUUGGUGGGGUAAAAGCCCACCAAGGCGACGAUCUGUAGCUGGUCUGAGAGGACGACCAGCCACACUGGAACUGAGACACGGUCCAGACUCCUACGGGAGGCAGCAGUGGGGAAUUUUGGACAAUGGGCGCAAGCCUGAUCCAGCAAUGCCGCGUGCAGGAUGAAGGCCUUCGGGUUGUAAACUGCUUUUGUACGGAACGAAACGGUCGCCUCUAAUAAAGGCGGCUAAUGACGGUACCGUAAGAAUAAGCACCGGCUAACUACGUGCCAGCAGCCGCGGUAAUACGUAGGGUGCGAGCGUUAAUCGGAAUUACUGGGCGUAAAGCGUGCGCAGGCGGUGAUGUAAGACAGAUGUGAAAUCCCCGGGCUCAACCUGGGACCUGCAUUUGUGACUGCAUCGCUAGAGUACGGUAGAGGGGGAUGGAAUUCCGCGUGUAGCAGUGAAAUGCGUAGAUAUGCGGAGGAACACCGAUGGCGAAGGCAAUCCCCUGGACCUGUACUGACGCUCAUGCACGAAAGCGUGGGGAGCAAACAGGAUUAGAUACCCUGGUAGUCCACG
rnacentral:rRNA from 1 species